AUGACGAUUUGUGCAGCCCUGCAGCCUGUGUGUGGCUUCAUCAAUAACACAGGGGCGCCGGCAGCUACUGCAAGACGUUUCUCAUCUUUCGUUUGCAUCAAGCGCAACCGGAGAGCCCUUACGAAAGCCAUUGAAGACCUACAAGCUGUAGAGAAGGUGGUUCAAGAACAAGUUAGCGUUGAAACCAACCAGCUCAACAAGUGCGAUCCUCGAGUCGAAUUAUGGCUGAGCAGAGUUGAUGGAGUCCUCGUUCCAAUUGAUGCCAUCGAACAAGAGUGUGACCAACUCAUGCAAUACUCUUGCUUCUGUAGCUCUUCCCUAAGCCUUGGGAAACGCUAUCGUCUUGGCAAGCGUGUUCUUGAGAUUCUGGAGGAUCUUCGUGGGCUAAUUGAGGAAGGGAAUCAAUUCAAGGUAUUCGGAAGCAAGCCUUUGCCAGCUUUGGUUGAGGAUCAACCAAGGAUAGAAGCCCUUGGCAUCAAGCCUGUGCUGAAGAAUCUCUGGGAAUUUUUCAACAGCGGCAAUGUGGGCAUCAUUGGAAUUUGGGGUCCAGGAGGGGUUGGGAAAACAACCCUCCUCAACACCUUCAACAAUGAACUCAAGGAGUGGGGCACCGAUUACCAGGUGGUAAUCAUGAUUGAAGUGUCCAACUCUGGAAAUCUAAAUAUAGCAGCCAUCCAGCGCAUGAUUACAGACCGCCUUGGCUUGCCUUGGAAUGACAUAGAGACAGUGCAAACUCGUGCCAGAUUCUUGGCAAAAGCACUGGGAAGAAAGAAAUUUAUCAUUUUACUGGAUGAUGUCCGGAACAAAUUCAAAUUAGAAGAUGUCGGGAUCCCAACCCCAGAUUCUGAAAUCAAAAGCAAGUUGAUUCUUACCUCACGUGAUGAGGAUGUUUGCUAUCAAAUGGGAGCACACCAGAGUUUGAUCAAGAUGGAGUACCUAGAGAAGGAGUCAGCGUGGGAGCUCUUCCAAAACAAUUUGAGCACUAAUGCCAUUGCAGCCAUUGAGUCUCCUGCCCCUAAUGUUGUACGAGAGCAUGCUGAAGCAAUUGUCCAGAGCUGUGGUGGUUUGCCACUUGCACUCAAGGUAAUAGGGAGGGCCGUUGCUGGACUAACAGAACCCGAGGAUUGGAGCCUGGCGGUGCAAGCAACCAAGGAUGACAUAAAGGACUUGCAUGGAGUACCAGAAAUGUUCCAUAAAUUGAAAUACAGUUACGAUAAGUUGAUCAAGCAACAACAACGGUGUUUCCUGUACUGCACCCUUUUUCCAGAAUAUGGUUCAAUCAGAAAAGAUAAGCUUGUGGAGUACUGGAUGGCAGAUGGGUUGAUACCUCAGGACCCCAAGAAAGGCCAUCGUAUAAUCCGUAGCCUGUUGUCAGCAUGCUUGUUAGAGAGUUGCAAAUCUGACUCUUCGGAGGUCAAAAUGCACCACAUUAUUCGCCAUCUGGGGAUUUCCCUUGCAGUGCGGGAAAAUAUUAUUGUGAAGGCUGGAAUGAGUUUGGAGAGGGCUCCAUCAGAGAGAGAGUGGCAAGCAGCAAGAAGGAUAUCACUCAUGUUUAAUGACAUAAGGGACCUUUGUAUCUCACAUGAGUGCAGGAAUCUAGUAACUUUGCUAGUUCAGCAUAAUCCUAAUUUGGAAAGGCUCAGUCCAACAAUCUUCAAAUUCAUGCCUUCCUUGAGGGUCCUUGAUCUUUCACACACCAGCAUCACAACUCUUCCACCCUGUGAAACAUUGUCCAAGCUUAAGUAUCUCAAUUUGUCCCACACAUGCAUUGAGAGGCUUCCUGAGGAGUUUUGGGUGCUCAAAGAACUAACCCAUUUAGAUUUAAGGGUUACCAAGGCCCUUAAAGAGACAUUUGACAAUUGUUCCAAGCUACACAAGCUAAGGGUCCUAAACCUCUUCCGAAGCAACUAUGGGAUUCGUGAUGUUAAUGAUCUGAACAUUGAUUCCCUAAAGGAACUUGAGUUCCUUGGUAUCACAAUUUAUGCUGAGGAUGUGUUAAAGAAGUUGACCAAGACACAUCCGCUGGCAAAGUCGACACAGCGCCUUAGCCUCAAACACUGCGAUCAAAUGCAGUCGAUCCAAAUAUCAGACUUCACACAUAUGGUGCAACUUGGAGAGCUCUAUGUUGAAUCAUGUCCUGACUUGAAACAGCUUAUUGCUGACUCUGACAAGCGAAGAUCUUGUCUGCAAGUGCUUACCCUUGCUGAACUUCCUGCUCUAGAAACAGUUCUUAUUGGAUCUUCGCCUCAUCACUUUCGGAACCUCCUAGAAAUUACAAUCUCCCACUGCCAAAAAUUGCACGAUGUUACCUGGGUUCUGAAGCUGGAGGCACUUGAGAAGCUUUCUAUCUAUCACUGUCAUGAAUUAGAGCAAGUUGUUGAAGAAACAACUGAUGAGGUGGAAAGCAAGAGUUCGGGAAUUGAACAGGGCAGUACUCAGAGAUGCAGGAGGAAAAAUGGUUUCUCUGAAGAACAAGAGAUACAUGGUAUGGUAGAUGACGCAUGGAAUGAAUAUGCCAAAUAUUACCAGAUUAUGACCAAGAGUGGGCGGAUCAAUGGAACAGAGCACCAGGUAGACUUCCCAAAACUGAGAUCAUUGGUACUGACUGACCUACCAAAGCUGAGAAGGGUAUGCAUCCCAAGAGACUUUCCUUGUCUUGAAAGUAUCAGGGUGGAGGACUGCCCGAAUCUGAAAACAAUUCCAUUGGGUCAGACAUAUGAUUGCCAGAGACUAAAUAGGAUUUGUGGAUCAUAUGCCUGGUGGGAAAAGCUAGAAUGGGGUGGCAAGGACAUAAUGGAGAGCAAGUAUUUCAUUCCCAUCCAAGACAAAGACUAG
rnacentral:rRNA from 1 species